GCAGUCGAGCGGUAAGGCCCUUCGGGGUACACGAGCGGCGAACGGGUGAGUAACACGUGAGCAAUCUGCCCUUCUCUUCGGAAUAACCAUUGGAAACGAUGGCUAAUGCCGAAUAUGACCUUGGAUCACAUGUUCUGAGGUGGAAAGCUCCGGCGGAGAAGGAUGAGCUCGCGGCCUAUCAGCUUGUUGGUGAGGUAAUGGCUCACCAAGGCAUUGACGGGUAGCCGGCCUGAGAGGGUGACCGGCCACACUGGGACUGAGACACGGCCCAGACUCCUACGGGAGGCAGCAGUGGGGAAUAUUGGACAAUGGGCGAAAGCCUGAUCCAGCAACGCCGCGUGAGGGAUGACGGCCUUCGGGUUGUAAACCUCUUUCAGCAGGGACGAAGCGAAAGUGACGGUACCUGCAGAAGAAGGACCGGCCAACUACGUGCCAGCAGCCGCGGUAAUACGUAGGGUCCGAGCGUUGUCCGGAAUUAUUGGGCGUAAAGGGCUCGUAGGCGGUUUGUCGCGUCGGGAGUGAAAACUCAGGGCUCAACCCUGAGCGUGCUUCCGAUACGGGCAGACUAGAGGUAUGCAGGGGAGAACGGAAUUCCUGGUGUAGCGGUGGAAUGCGC
rnacentral:rRNA from 1 species